UACGAAGGGGGCUAGCGUUGCUCGGAAUCACUGGGCGUAAAGGGUGCGUAGGCGGGUCUUUUAAGUCAGGGGUGAAAUCCUGGAGCUCAACUCCAGAACUGCCUUUGAUACUGAAGAUCUUGAGUUCGGGAGAGGUGAGUGGAACUGCGAGUGUAGAGGUGAAAUUCGUAGAUAUUCGCAAGAACACCAGUAGCGAAGGCGACACUCUGGGCCGGUACUGACGCUGAGGAGCGAAAGCGUGGGGAGCGAACAGG
rnacentral:rRNA from 1 species